AGCGAACGUUAGCGGCGCGCCUAACACAUGCAAGUCGCACGAGAAACGGAGCAAUCCGCGGUACAGUGGCGCACGGGUGAGUAACACGUGGAUGACCUUCCCUGGAGUGGUGGAUAACCUGCCGAAAGGCGGGCUAAUACAGCAUAGGACCACGACGCUCUGGCGAUGUGGUGAAAGCGGGCCUCUAUAUAUAAGCUCGCGCUCCGGGACGGGUCCGCGUCCCAUCAGCUAGUUGGUGAGGUAACGGCUCACCAAGGCAACGACGGGUAGCUGGUCUGAGAGGAUGGCCAGCCACACUGGAACUGAGACACGGUCCAGACUCCUACGGGAGGCAGCAGUGGGGAAUCUUGCGCAAUGGGCGAAAGCCUGACGCAGCGACGCCGCGUGGGCGAAGAAGGCCUC
rnacentral:rRNA from 1 species